GACGAACGCUGGCGGCGUGCUUAACACAUGCAAGUCGAACGAGAAUCUGCGGAACGAGGAUUCGUCCAAGUGAAGCAGAGGACAGUGGCGGACGGGUGAGUAACGCGUGAGGAACCUGCCUUUCAGAGGGGGACAACAGUUGGAAACGACUGCUAAUACCGCAUAACACAUGGGUGUCGCAUGGCACUGAUGUCAAAGAUUUAUCGCUGAAAGAUGGCCUCGCGUCUGAUUAGCUAGUUGGUGAGGUAACGGCCCACCAAGGCGACGAUCAGUAGCCGGACUGAGAGGUUGCCCGGCCACAUUGGGACGGAGAUACGGCCCAGACUCCUACGGGAGGCAGCAGUGGGGAAUAUUGGGCAAUGGGCGCAAGCCUGACCCAACAACGCCGCGUGAAGGAAGAAGGCUUUCGGGUUGUAAGCUUCUUUUGUCGGGGACGAGUAGAAGACGGUACCUGACGAAUAAGCCACGGCUAACUACGUGCCAGCCGCCGCCGUAA
rnacentral:rRNA from 1 species